ACUCCUACGGGAGGCAGCAGUGGGGAAUCUUGGACAAUGGGCGCAAGCCUGAUCCAGCCAUGCCGCGUGAGUGAAGAAGGUCUUCGGAUUGUAAAGCACUUUAAGUUGGGAGGAAGGGCAUUUACCUAAUACGUAAGUGUUUUGACGUUACCGACAGAAUAAGCACCGGCUAACUCCGUGCCAGCAGCCGCGGUAAU
rnacentral:rRNA from 1 species